rnacentral:rRNA from 1 species
UUAGACCUCAAAUCAGUCAGGACUACCCGCUG